rnacentral:rRNA from 1 species
GAAACUGGUGCUAAUACCGGAUAGUCUUUUGAUUAUGCGAGUAAUUGGGAGUAAAGGUGGCCUCUUCUUGAAAGCUACCGUAUAGGGAUGAGCCUGCGUACCAUUAGCUAGUAGGUGGGGUAACGGCCCACCUAGGCGACGAUGGUUAGCGGGUCUNAGAGGAUGAUCCGCCACACUGGAACUGGAACACGGACCAGACUCCUACGGGAGGCAGCAGUGAGGAAUAUUGCGCAAUGGGGGCAACCCUGACGCAGCGACGCCGCGUGAGUGAGGAAGGUUUUCGGAUCGUAAAGCUCUGUCAGAAGGGAAGAAGUGUUACGUAGUUAAUACCUGCGUAAUUUGACGGUACCUUCAGAGGAAGCACCGGCUAACUCCGUGCCAGCAGCCGCGGUAAUACGGAGGGUGCGAGCGUUGUUCGGAAUUACUGGGCGUGAAGGGCGCGUANGCGGCUGGAUAAGUCAGAUGUGAAAGUCCAUGGCUCAACUGUGGNAGUGCAUUUGAAACUGUCCGGCU